GAUGAACGCUAGCGGCAGGCUUAAUACAUGCAAGUCGAGGGGCAGCAGGUCUGUAGCAAUACAGAUGCUGGCGACCGGCAAACGGGUGCGGAACACGUACAGAACCUUCCUUCGAGCGGGGAAUAGCCCAGAGAAAUUUGGAUUAAUACCCCAUAGUAUGGUGAAGAGGCAUCUCUUUACUCUUAAAGAUUUAUCACUUGAAGAUGGCUGUGCGGCUGAUUAGGUAGUUGGCGGGGUAACGGCCCACCAAGCCUACGAUCAGUAACUGGUGUGAGAGCACGACCAGUCACACGGGCACUGAGACACGGGCCCGACUCCUACGGGAGGCAGCAGUAAGGAAUAUUGGUCAAUGGACGAAAGUCUGAACCAGCCAUGCCGCGUGGAGGAUGAAGGUCCUCUGGAUUGUAAACUUCUUUUAUAUGGGACGAAAAAGGGCCUUUCUAGGUCAACUGACGGCACCAUGUGAAUAAGCACCGGCUAACUCCGUGCCAGCCGCCGCAGUAAUAC
rnacentral:rRNA from 1 species